UACGGGAGGCAGCAGGCCAGGAAUCUUGGGCAAUGGGCGCAAGCCUGACCCAGCAACACCGUGUGGGCGAUGAAGGCCUUCGGGUCGUAAAGCCCUGUUGAUAGGGACGAAGGGCGAAGGGUUAAUAGCCCCUAGCCUGACGGUACCUUUCGAGGAAGCCCCGGCUAACUACGUGCCAGCAGCCGCGGUAAUACGUAGGGGGCGAGCGUUGUCCGGAAUUAUUGGGCGUAAAGAGCGUGUAGGCGGUUCGGUAAGUCUGUCGUGAAAUCCUGGGGCUCAACCCCGGGCGUGCGAUGGAUACUGCCGGGCUAGAGGGUGGUAGAGGCGAGUGGAAUUCCCGGUGUAGCGGUGAAAUGCGCAGAUAUCGGGAGGAACACCAGUAGCGAAGGCGGCUCGCUGGGCCACACCUGACGCUGAGACGCGAAAGCUAGGGGAGCGAACAGGAUUAGAUACCCUGGUAG
rnacentral:rRNA from 1 species